rnacentral:rRNA from 1 species
CGGCGGACGGGUGAGUAACGCGUGGGCAACCUGCCUUACACAGGGGGAUAACAGUUAGAAAUGACUGCUAAUACCGCAUAAGACCACAGGACUGCAUGGUCCGGUGGUAAAAACUCCGGUGGUGUAAGAUGGGCCCGCGUCUGAUUAGGUAGUUGGCGGGGUAACGGCCCACCAAGCCGACGAUCAGUAGCCGACCUGAGAGGGUGACCGGCCACAUUGGGACUGAGACACGGCCCAGACUCCUACGGGAGGCAGCAG